CCUACGGGGGGCUGCAGUGAGGAAUAUUGCACAAUGGGCGAAAGCCUGAUGCAGCAACGCCGCGUGAGCGAUGAAGGCCUUCUGGUCGUAAAGCUCUGUCCUCAAGGAAGAUAAUCCCGGCACUUGAGGAGGAAGCCCCGGCUAACUACGUGCCAGCAGCCGCGGUAAUACGUAGGGGGCUAGCGUUAUCAGGAAUUACUGGGCGUAAAGGGGGCGUAGGUGGUUUCUUAAGUCAGAGGUGAAAGGCUAUGGCUCAACCGUAGUAAGCCGUUGAAACUGGGGAACUUGAGUGCAGGAGAGGAGAGUGGAAUUCGUGGUGUAGCGGUGAAAUGCGUAGAUAUUAGGAAGAACACCGGUUGCGAAGGCAGCUUUCUGGACUGUAACUGACGCUGAGGCACGAAAGCGUGGGGAGCGAACAGGAUUAGAUACCCUGGUAGUC
rnacentral:rRNA from 1 species